AAUAGAUACCCUGGUAGUCCACGCCGUAAACGAUGAGUGCUAAGUGUUGGGGGGUUUCCGCCCCUCAGUGCUGCAGCUAACGCAUUAAGCACUCCGCCUGGGGAGUACGGUCGCAAGACUGAAACUCAAAGGAAUUGACGGGGGCCCGCACAAGCGGUGGAGCAUGUGGUUUAAUUCGAAGCAACGCGAAGAACCUUACCAGGUCUUGACAUCCCGGUGACCACUAUGGAGACAUAGUUUCCCCUUCGGGGGCAACGGUGACAGGUGGUGCAUGGUUGUCGUCAGCUCGUGUCGUGAGAUGUUGGGUUAAGUCCCGCAACGAGCGCAACCCUUAUUCUUAGUUGCCAUCAUUUAGUUGGGCACUCUAAGGAGACUGCCGGUGAUAAACCGGAGGAAGGUGGGGAUGACGUCAAAUCAUCAUGCCCCUUAUGACCUGGGCUACACACGUGCUACAAUGGACGGUACAAACGGUUGCCAACCCGCGAGGGGGAGCUAAUCCGAUAAAACCGUUCUCAGUUCGGAUUGUAGGCUGCAACUCGCCUACA
rnacentral:rRNA from 1 species